UUCUCCUUCUUCUCCUUCUUCUUCUCCUUCUCCUUCUCCUUCUUCUUCUAGUCUUCUUCUCCUUCUUCUUCUUCUUCUUCUUCUUCGUCUUCUUCUUCUUCUUCUUCUUCUAGUUUUAUUCUCCAAAAUGAGAAACUUAGCUAAUUAUCCUCCAAAAUGACAUAAUUACCUUAUUUAGUUCAUUUAUGACAUAAUUAGCUUAGUUAGGUCAAAAAUAGCACAAGAACCUUGGUUAGCUGAUAACUUAGCGUAUCUUCCUCCAAAAUGACAUAAUACGCUCAAAAUAAGAUGAGUAGUCAUAUUCACCAUCUUCUUCUCCUUCUUCUUUUUCUCCUUCUUCUUCUAGUCUUCAUAUUCUCCUUCUUCUUCUUGUUUUUCUAGUUUUAUUCUCCAAAAUGACAUACUUAGGUAAUUACCCUCCAAAAUGACAUAAUUAGCUUAUUUAGUUCAUUCAUGACAUAAUUAGCUCAGUUAGGUCAAAAAUAGGACAAGAACCUUGGUUAGCUCACAACUUAGCGUAUUCCUCCGAAAUGACAUAAUAAGCUCAAAAUAAGAUAAGUAGUCAUAUUCACCUUCUUCUACUUCUUCUUCUUUUUCGCCUUCUACUUCUAGUCUUCUUCUUCUUCUUCUUCUAGUUUUAUUCUCCAAAAUGACAUACUUCGCUAAUUAUCCUCCAAAAUGACAUAAUUAGCUUACUUCGUUCAUUUAUGACAUAACUAGCUUAGUUAGGUCAAAAAUAGCACAAUAACCUU
rnacentral:lncRNA from 1 species